rnacentral:rRNA from 1 species
AUUGAACGCUGGCGGCAUGCCUUACACAUGCAAGUCGAACGGCAGCACGGGGCAACCUGGUGGCGAGUGGCGAACGGGUGAGUAAUGCAUCGGAACGUACCUUUCAGUGGGGGAUAACGUAGCGAAAGUUACGCUAAUACCGCAUAUUCUGUGAGCAGGAAAGCAGGGGAUCGCAAGACCUUGCGCUGAUUGAGCGGCCGAUGUCAGAUUAGCUAGUUGGUGAGGUAAAGGCUCACCAAGGCGACGAUCUGUAGCGGGUCUGAGAGGAUGAUCCGCCACACUGGAACUGAGACACGGGCCAGACUCCUACGGGAGGCAGCAGUGGGGAAUUUUGGACAAUGGGGGCAACCCUGAUCCAGCCAUGCCGCGUGAGUGAAGAAGGCCUUCGGGUUGUAAAGCUCUUUCGGCCGGGAAGAAAUCGCACGGGCUAAUACCCUGUGUGGAUGACGGUACCGGAAUAAGAAGCACCGACUAACUACGUGCCAGCAGCCGCGGUAAAAC